UCUUCUCUUCGUCACUUCCGCUCACGCCGCCUGCUGCAAACACACCCACUCUCUCUCUCUCUCUCUCUCUCUGCGCGCCAUGGGUACUGAUUUACGCCGCCCUCCGCCCAGUUCUCAAGCUUCUCAUACUUGCUUUUCAUCAAUCGAAACAAGCGGCCUUUCUCCUUGAAAUCGAGUUUCAUCCACUGAAUCUUAUCGGACGCCGCCCUCCGCCUCCGUCCUCUUCUCAUUCAGGGACGGCGUUUUAAUGGAGUAUCGCGCUGGAUGUUGGUUAUUGACUAUGAAGAUUGAAGUUGGAUUUUGGUUGUGGACGUGCUUGGAACAUGUGCUUGGACGUUCUUGUAUUUGUGGUUCAUGGGGUUUGGAUACAUUUUGUUACUAAGCUUGGAUUUUUUUUAUUUUCCCCCCGUGGUGGACGCGUUGUUAUUUUGCACUCUAGGAAUUUGGAUACAAGUUAUUUUUUAACUAUUUGGUGGACACCUCUAUUUAUGAAAGUUUGUAUUUAUUUCUUGGAA